GAUUCGUCACACUAUCAUUAACUGAAUCCAUAGGUUAAUGAGGCGAACCGGGGGAACUGAAACAUCUAAGUACCCCGAGGAAAAGAAAUCAACCGAGAUUCCCCCAGUAGCGGCGAGCGAACGGGGAGGAGCCCAGAGCCUGAAUCAGCAUGUGUGUUAGUGGAAGCGUCUGGAAAGGCGCGCGAUACAGGGUGACAGCCCCGUACACAAAAGCGCAUGUGCUGUGAGCUCGAUGAGUAGGGCGGGACACGUGGUAUCCUGUCUGAAUAUGGGGGGACCAUCCUCCAAGGCUAAAUACUCCUGACUGACCGAUAGUGAACCAGUACCGUGAGGGAAAGGCGAAAAGAACCCCGGCGAGGGGAGUGAAAAAGAACCUGAAACCGUGUACGUACAAGCAGUGGGAGCACCCUUUGGGGUGUGACUGCGUACCUUUUGUAUAAUGGGUCAGCGACUUAUAUUCUGUAGCAAGGUUAAC
rnacentral:rRNA from 1 species